rnacentral:rRNA from 1 species
AGGCCACUGCUAUCAGAGUUCGAUUAAGCCAUGCGAGUCGAGAGGUGUAAGACCUCGGGCAUACUGCUCAGUAACACGUGGACAACCUACCCUUAGGCCUGGGAUAACCCCGGAAACUGGGAAUAAUACCGGAUAUCUCGCGAAUGCUGGAAUGCGUCGCGAUAGAAAGCUCCGGCGCCUAAGGAUGGGUCUGCGGCCUAUCGGGGUAGUAGUGGGUGUAACGUACCUACUAGCCUACGACGGGUACGGGUUGUGAGAGCAAGAGCCCGGAGAUGGAUUCUGAGACACGAAUCCAGGCCCUACGGGGUGCAGCAGGCGCGAAAACUUUACAAUGCUGGAAACAGCGAUAAGGGGACCUCGAGUGCCAGGAUACAAUCCUGGCUGUCGUAAUGCCUAAAAAGCAUUGCAUAGCAAGGGCCGGGCAAGACCGGUGCCAGCCGCCGCGGUAACACCGGCGGCUCGAGUGGUAACCGCUAUUAUUGGGUCUAAAGGGUCUGUAGCCGGCUGACUAAGUCUCUUGGGAAAUCUGACAGCUUAACUGUCAGGCUUUCAGGAGAUACUGAUCGGCUCGAGACCGGGAGAGGUGAGAGGUACCUCAGGGGUAGGGGUGAAAUCUUGUAAUCCUUGAGGGACCACCAGUGGCGAAGGCGUCUCACCAGAACGGAUCUGACGGCAAGGGACGAAAGCUAGGGGCACGAACCGGAUUAGAUACCCGGGUAGUCCUAGCCGUAAACGAUACUCGCUAGGUGUCGGCCACGGUGCGACCGUGGUCGGUGCCGUAGGGAAGCCGUGAAGCGAGCCACCUGGGAAGUACGGCCGCAAGGCUGAAACUUAA